AAGCGGAGGAGCAUGUGGUUUAAUUCGAUGAUACGCGAGGAACCGUUACCUGGGCUCGAACGUAAGAUGACUGUAGGUGAAAGCUUACAUCUCUUCGGAGCAUUUUACGAGGUGCUGCAUGGUUGUCGUCAGCUCGUGCCGUGAGGUGUCGGGUUAAGUCCCAUAACGAGCGCAACCCUACCUUUAGUUGCCAUCAGGUAAUGCUGGGGACUCUAAAGGAACUGCCUACGCAAGUAGUGAGGAAGCGGGGAUGACGUCAAAUCAGCACGGCCCUUACGUCCAGGGCUACACACGUGCUACAAUGGCCGAUACAGAGGGCAGCUACCUGGUGACAGGAUGCAAAUCUCCAAAGUCGGUCUCAGUUCGGAUCGGAGUCUGCAACCCGACUCCGUGAAGUUGGAAUCGCUAGUAAUCGCGCAUCAGCCAUGGCGCGGUGAAUACGUUCCCGGGCCUU
rnacentral:rRNA from 1 species